CGUGCCUCAAGGCACAGACACCUACGGAGACACACCCCCACUCUUUUUCCAUCCAGCUGUUGCUCACUUUUGCCAGAAAACCCCAGAUCUUCCAGUGACCUGCGCUAAGAGAAAGGGGUGGAGCGUGAGAGAGGAGGUGCCCUCAGAAGUUCUGGGUUCCAUUCAGUUUGUGGCCGGGGAAGCUGAUGGGCACAGUGCCCUGGGAUGCCCUCCACUUUAGCAGGGUGAUUGUAUCCAACGGAUGGUCAUGGCCUGGCACCCACUGGAAGGCGGCUGACAUAUGAAGACACUCAGAUUUUUGCCAAUGGGCAGCACUGAUCUGCCAAGCAAGUGAAUGAGCCACCUUAGAAGCAAAUACUCUAACCUCAGUCAACUGUACAGGAAACUGCAGCACCGGCUGACGUUUUGACAGCAAUCACAUGAAAGACUCCAGACCGGGAUCACCCACCUAAGUCACUCCUUACCCAUAGAAACCGUGUUUAUUAAUAAAUAAGAAACAGAUGUUUGUUAUUGGUUU